AUGAGUGGAGAGGGGGAGGGGGAGGGGAAGAGGAGGGUGCUGGACAUCCUCGCGGGCUCCGACGACGACUCGGACGGCCCCGCCGAGGACUACUCGAACUUCCAGAUCGACGAGGGGUACGCUCGCCGCUACGAGCACAAGAAGCGGCGCGAGGCGCUGGACCGCCUCAAGGAGAAGAAGAAGAAGGAGGCCCUCGUCGCCGACCCAGACGACGAGGACGACGACGACUCCGACGACGAGUCGGACGAGGACGAGGCCGUCGCCGCCGCCUCCCGCCGCGUCGACCGCCGCGUGCUCCAGGUCAUCCGCCGCAUCCGCAGCGGCGACAGCGCCAUCUUCGACAAGGACGCCAAGGUGUACUCCUCCUCGUCGGAGGACGAGGACGAGGACGGCGCCGAGGGGGAGCCCAAGGAGGGGAAGAAGGCCAAGAAGGAGCGGCCGCUGUACCUCAAGGACGUCAACGCUCAGCACCUGCUCGAGGAGGGCCCCGAGUUUGCCGCGCAGGCUGGCCGCGGCAGCAAGUAUGACCGGAUUGCGUACAACGAGCUCCAGAGGGACGGGCUCAAGGAGUUCCUUGAGGCGGAGAAGAAGGCAUUGGGGGAUGGCGAUGAUGAGGAGGAAGAUCUGUUCAAGGCGAAGCAGGCUGAAGGAGAUGGUGGCGACAGCGAAGAGGACGAAGACGAGAAGCAGACCGAGGAGCUGUUGGGUGAGGUUUUUGGGGAUGAUGACAAGCUGGAUGACAAUGAGAAGUUUUUGAAGAAUUACAUCCUCAAUAGGCCCUACCUUGAACCAGCGCCGGAGAAGUUCUCGCUGGAUGAUAUCCAGGAGGUCUCACAGGAAGAGGAUGUGAUCGAAACUCAGGAGGACUAUGAGGAUAUUUAUAAUAAGUUGGGGAAUUAUAAAUUCCGGCAUGAGGAGGUGGAAGCUUCAGAGGGAGUGGUGACUGAUCGGGUAAUGGGACAUCCCCGGGUUGUUGAGGGGUCUGUGAGGAAGAAGGAGAGCAGCAGAAAGAAGCAGCGCAAGAGCAAAGAGGAACGGCUUGCGCGAGCCAAGCAGGAGCAGGCAGAGGAGCUGAAGCAUCUCAAGAAUUUGAAGAAGAAAGAGAUUGCUGAGAAGCUUGAGAAGAUCCGGAUGAUUGCUGGAAUUGAAGGGGAAGCUGCCUGUAAGCUUGGUGCAGAUGACUUGGAGGAAGAUUUUGAUCCAGAGGAUUAUGACAGGAAAAUGCAGGAGAUGUUUGAUGACAGCUACUAUGGUGCUGAUGAGGUUGAUCCUGGGUUUGGAAGUGGAGAUGAUUUGGAUUUGGUCAAACCUGAUUUUGACAAGGAAGAUGAAUUGCUUGGGUUACCUAAAGAUUGGGCACCUGAUGGUAAAGAAGGGUCUACUGCCACUGGUGAGAAGAAGAAAAAUAAGGAGCUUGCAAAUGGUGAGGAGGAAGGCGAGAAAAAGAAGGGGAAGAUCUCUCUCAAGGACAAGGUGGAGCUUGAGAAGGAGCUUGAUGAGUAUUAUAAGCUAGACUAUGAGGACACCAUUGGAGAUCUGAAGACACGGUUCAAGUAUAGGCAAGUUCAGCCAAACAGUUUUGGACUGGAGACGUAUGAGAUACUGCAAUCAGAUGACAGGGAUCUGAACCAAUAUGUAUCCAUGAAGAAGCUAGCACCAUAUAGGGAGGAUGAAUGGCAGGUGACUCAUCAUAAGAAGCUGAGCAAAGAUUUGAUCCUUGGAGGACAGAAGAUAGAAGGCAAGAAGGUCAAAUCUCACAAGAAAUCUAAGUCUGGGGAAGGCCCUAGUUCUGGGAGGCCAGAGACAGAUAAGCCAACAAGUGAACAAGAAGAAACUGAUGGCAAGACAGAGUCAAAAAGCAAGAAGCACAAGACUGGGAAGAGAUCCAGGUCCGAGGAUGGUCCUGGUCCUGAAAAGGCAGAGGAAGUCAAGUUGACAAGUGAGCAAGAAGAUGCAGAUGCCAAGACAAAGUCAAAGAAGAGCAAGAAGGCCAAGACUGGCAAGGAAUCCAGGUCGGAGGAAGACCCUAGUUCUGGAAAGCCAGAGGAGGGCAAGUUAACAAGUGAAGAAGAAACAGGUGGCAAGAAAAAAUCAACUAGAAGUGAGCGAAGGAACCGUCGAAGGAAGGAGUUGAAAAUAUCCAGGGACAGACAGGGGGCAUACGGGCUGAUAGAUCUGAAGAGUCAGAAGAGCAAUUGA
rnacentral:rRNA from 1 species